GCAUCCUUCGGGGUUACAGCCUUGCUGAAUUAUUCACCCGUGUCUUUUGCGUACUUCUUGUUUCCUUGGUGGGUUCGCCCACCAUAGGACAAACCAUAAACCUUUUGUAAUUGCAAUCAGCGUCAGAAAAAAAAAAUUAAUAAUUACAACUUUUAACAACGGAUCUCUUGGUUCUGGCAUCGAUGAAAAACGCAGCGAAAUGCGAUAAGUAGUGUGAAUUGCAAAAUUCAGUGAAUCAUCGAAUCUUUGAACGCACAUUGCGCCCUUUGGUAUUCCAAAGGGCAUGCCUGUUCAAGCGUCAUUUGUACCCUCAAGCUUUGCUUGGUGUUGGGCGUCUUGUCUCCAGUUCGCUGGAAACUCGCCUUAAAGUAAUUGGCAGCCGGCCUACUGGUUUCGGAGCGCAGCACAAGUCGCGCUCUCUUCCAGCCAAGGUCAGCAUCCACAAAGCCUUUUUUCAACUUUUGACCUCGGAUCAGGUAGGGAUACCCGCUGAACUUAAGCAUAUCAAUAACCGGAGGAGA
rnacentral:rRNA from 1 species